rnacentral:lncRNA from 1 species
AGCUCUGCACCUGAGACUGGAGGUGAGAAGACAGUAGAAGCCUCGCUGAAUCCACAGGAGGCUCUAGCAUCUUCACCAACUACACAGAGUCUGUGUCAGCAUGAAGGUGGUGGUGCUGACGCCACAGUUCCUGCAGCGGCAUCGGAAGGUAUUGGCUAUGCAUUUAAGAACAAAUGUUUGCUGCUUAAUAAAGAAUCACUCAGUUUGGACUAUUUAAUCCAACUUCUACGAUGCCUGUUAGCAAUCUAUAAGUGCGCGAGGUCACCUAACCAAGGAAUAACACCUUUUAUCAAUACCUGUUGUGUCAUGUGGCGUUAUGUUGCAAUGGAUUGUGGACUUUGCCAUCUGUUUUUAAGUAAAUAUGGACUUACAUAUAUGUUUUAAAUAAACAAAUGCAAAUUUUUGUAUGCAC